rnacentral:rRNA from 1 species
GACGAACGCUGGCUGCGUGCUUAACACAUGCAAGUCGAACGCUGAAGCCCCAGCUUGCUGGGGUGGAUGAGUGGCGAACGGGUGAGUAACACGUGAGUAACCUGCCCCUGACUUCGGGAUAAGCCCGGGAAACUGGGUUUAAUACCGGAUACGACUAUCGGACGCAUGUCUGGUGGUGGAAAGUUUUUUCGGUUGGGGAUGGGCUCGCGGCCUAUCAGUUUGUUGGUGAGGUAAUGGCUCACCAAGACGACGACGGGUAGCCGGCCUGAGAGGGCGACCGGCCACACUGGGACUGAGACACGGCCCAGACUCCUACGGGAGGCAGCAGUGGGGAAUAUUGCACAAUGGGGGAAACCCUGAUGCAGCGACGCAGCGUGCGGGAUGACGGCCUUCGGGUUGUAAACCGCUUUCAGCAGGGAAGAAGCCUUCGGGUGACGGUACCUGCAGAAGAAGUACCGGCUAACUACGUG